AUGCUGCUCACCCCCACUCGCCACCUACCCAUCCUGCUUUGGGCAAUCCUGGAGCUCGUGGCGGCGCCGAAUGAUGCACGGUGCCCCACUAGGCACUGCCGAUCGAUGGGCCAUCCUCCGUAUGCGAAGCCCCCACCCCGCCGCGCGGUGGCCCCAGCUGCACCCGACAACGCCCCGGACAGCCCUUCAGUCUUCCCUGAGAGAGCCAGAGACUUCUUACCAAGGAAUCAGCAGAUGAUAAAUCUAACAAGAGAAGAAUCCAAGCACUUUAAGGGGGCCCUCCAUAGAGGACUGCAAAAAAUGAAAAUCCACGUACAUGAACAAGAUUGUUAUCAACUGAGAUGGGUUGAAAUCAGAUGGCAACUAGAGUGA
rnacentral:lncRNA from 1 species